AACGAACGCUGGCGGCAGGCUUAACACAUGCAAGUCGAACGCCCCGCAAGGGGAGUGGCAGACGGGUGAGUAACGCGUGGGAACAUACCCUUUUCUACGGAAUAGCUCUGGGAAACUGGAAUUAAUACCGUAUACGCCCUACGGGGGAAGGAUUUAUCGGGGAAGGAUUGGCCCGCGUUGGAUUAGCUAGUUGGUGGGGUAAAGGCCUACCAAGGCGACGAUCCAUAGCUGGUCUGAGAGGAUGAUCAGCCACAUUGGGACUGAGACACGGCCCAAACUCCUACGGGAGGCAGCAGUGGGGAAUAUUGGACAAUGGGCGCAAGCCUGAUCCAGCCAUGCCGCGUGAGUGAUGAAGGCCUUAGGGUUGUAAAGCUCUUUCACCGAUGAAGAUAAUGACGGUAGUCGGAGAAGAAGCCCCGGCUAACUUCGUG
rnacentral:rRNA from 1 species